rnacentral:piRNA from 2 species
UAACAGGUCACUGUCUUGUUCUGCUGUCU